CCAGGCUGCCUUCCAGGAGAAUGUGGGAAGACAGGGCACGUUCCCCUACGGUAUCGACAUCGUAGUAGCAGCUGACUACUUUGCUGUUGGAAACCUGAGCAACUGUUACCUGUCCAUCAGUGUUUACAUCGCCAGUUUCCAGAAUACACCAGGCCCAUGAUAGACCACUUGGUAGCCAUGAAGAUCAACCACCUGGGACGGGGUGAUUCGACAGCUAGCGACAAAGGCUUUGCAUAAUCUGACGCCUCAAGCACCUGAUUAAUAUGGCACAACAG